rnacentral:rRNA from 1 species
UCCUACGGGAGGCAGCAGUGAGGAAUAUUGCACAAUGGAGGAAACUCUGAUGCAGCAACGCCGCGUGGAGGAUGACGCAUUUCGGUGUGUAAACUCCUUUUAAGAGGGAAGAUUAUGACGGUACCUCUUGAAUAAGCACCGGCUAACUCCGUGCCAGCAGCCGCGGUAAUAAUCUC